rnacentral:rRNA from 1 species
UACAGAGGUCCCAAGCGUUGUUCGGAUUCACUGGGCGUAAAGGGCGCGUAGGUGGCGCGGGAAGUCAACGGUGAAAGUUCAGGGCUCAACCCUGAAUCGGCCGUCGAUACUCCCGGGCUCGAGCACUGUAGAGGCAGGUGGAAUUCCGGGUGUAGCGGUGGAAUGCGUAGAGAUCCGGAAGAACACCGGUGGCGAAGGCGGCCUGCUGGGCAGUUGCUGACACUGAUGCGCGACAGCGUGGGGAGUAAACAGG